rnacentral:rRNA from 1 species
AACGAACGCUGGCGGCAGGCCUAGCACAUGCAAGUCGAACGGACGUAGCAAUACGUUAGUGGCGCACGGGAGAGUAACGCGUGGGAACCUACCUUUUGGUUCGGGAUAACAUCGGGAAACUGGCGCUAAUACCGGAUAAGCCCUUCGGGGGAAAGAUUUAUUGCCGAAAGAUGGGCCCGCGUUGGAUUAGCUAGUUGGUGAGGUAAUGGCUCACCAAGGCAACGAUCCAUAGCUGGUCUGAGAGGAUGAUCAGCCUCACUGGGACUGAGACACGGCCCAGACUCCUACGGGAGGCAGCAGUGGGGAAUAUUGGACAAUGGGGGAAACCCUGAUCCAGCCAUGCCGCGUGAAUGAUGAAGGCCUUCGGGUUGUAAAGUUCUUUUGGUGGGGGCGAUGAUGACGGUACCCACAGAAUAAGCUCCGGCUAACUUCGUGCCAGCCGCCGCUGUAAUAC